rnacentral:rRNA from 1 species
GAAAUGUAGGUCCUCGUUGGUGACCAGCGGAGGGAUCAUUACCGAGUUUACAACUCCCAAACCCCUGUGAACAUACCUUAUGUUGCCUCGGCGGAUCAGCCCGCGCCCCGUAAAAAGGGACGGCCCGCCGCAGGAACCCUAAACUCUGUUUUUAGUGGAACUUCUGAGUAUAAAAAACAAAUAAAUCAAAACUUUCAACAACGGAUCUCUUGGUUCUGGCAUCGAUGAAGAACGCAGCAAAAUGCGAUAAGUAAUGUGAAUUGCAGAAUUCAGUGAAUCAUCGAAUCUUUGAACGCACAUUGCGCCCGCCAGUAUUCUGGCGGGCAUGCCUGUUCGAGCGUCAUUUCAACCCUCAAGCCCAGCUUGGUGUUGGGAGCUGCAGUCCUGCUGCACUCCCCAAAUACAUUGGCGGUCACGUCGAGCUUCCAUAGCGUAAUAAUUUACAUAUCGUUACUGGUAAUCGUCGCGGCCACGCCGUUAAACCCCAACUUCUGAAUGUUGACCUCGGAUCAGGUAGGAAUACCCGCUGAACUUAAGCAUAUCAAUAAGCGGAGGAA